rnacentral:rRNA from 1 species
GAGCAUAUCAAUAAGCGGAGGAAAAGAAACUAACAAGGAUUCCCCUAGUAACUGCGAGUGAAGCGGGAAAAGCUCAAAUUUAAAAUCUGGCGGUUCUGCCGUCCGAGUUGUAAUCUGGAGAAGCGUUUUCCGUGUCGGACCGUGCACAAGUCUCUUGGAACAGAGCGUCAUAGAGGGUGAGAAUCCCGUCUUUGGCACGGACAGCCGAUACUUUGUGAUACGUUUUCAAAGAGUCGAGUUGUUUGGGAAUGCAGCUCAAAAUGGGUGGUAAAUUCCAUCUAAAGCUAAAUAUAGGCGAGAGACCGAUAGCGAACAAGUACCGUGAGGGAAAGAUGAAAAGCACUUUGGAAAGAGAGUUAAACAGUACGUGAAAUUGUUGAAAGGGAAACGCUUGAAGUCAGUCGCGUCUGCCGGGACUCAGCCUUACUUCGGUAUGGUGUAUUUCCUGGUUUGACGGGUCAACAUCGAUUUUGACCGAUGGAUAAAGGAGAAGGGAAUGUGGCACCUCCGGGUGUGUUAUAGCCCUCUUUGUAUACAUCGGUUGGGAUCGAGGACUGCAGCACGCCCUUGUGGCCGGGGGUUCGCCCUACGUAUCGUGCUUAGGAUGUUGACAUAAUGGCUUUAAGCGACCCGUCUUGAAACACGGACCAAGGAGUCUAACAUGCUCGCGAGUGUUAGGGUGGAAAACCCUUGCGCGUAAUGAAAGUGAAGGUUGGGACCUCUGCGAGGAGGGCACCGACGCCCGGCCCUGAAGUUCUCUGACGGUGCUGCGGUAGAGCGCGUAUGUUGGGACCCGAAAGAUGGUGAACUAUGCCUGAAUAGGGCGAAGCCAGAGGAAACUCUGGUGGAGGCUCGUAGCGAUUCUGACGUGCAAAUCGAUCGUCAAAUUUGGGUAUAGGGGCGAAAGACUAAUCGAACCAUCUAGUAGCUGGUCUGCA